AAACUAACUAGGAUGCCUUCAGUAACGGCGAGCGAAGCAGGCAUAGCUCAAAUUUGUAAUCUGGCGGUUCUGCCGUCCGAGUUGUAAUUUCUAGAGGCGUGUCCGGCAGGCGCCCCGGUUCAAGUCCGCUGGAACGCGGCGUCAUGGAGGGUGAGAAUCCCGUGAUUGACUGGGUGUACGUCGGCCGUGUGGACCGUCUUCGAAGAGUCGAGUUGUUUGGGAAUGCAGCUCUAAUUGGGAGGUAAACUUCUUCUAAAGCUAAAUAUUGGCCAGAGACCGAUAGCGAACAAGUAGUGUGAACGAAAGAUGAAAAGCACUUUGAAAAGAGAGUUAAAAAGUACGUGAAAUUGUUGAAAGGGAAGCGCUUGGAAUCAGACUUCCGGUGCGGGCUGUCCUGGCUUCUGUCAGGAUCAACAGCUCGUGCAUGGAGGCCAGCAUCAGUUUUGACGGUCGGAUAAAGGCAGCGAGAAGGUGGCUCCCUCGGGAGUGUUAUAGCUCGUUGUGCAAUACGGCCAGUCGGGACUGAGGACCGCGGCUCUGCCUAGGAUGCUGGCGUAAUGGUUGUAAGCGACCCGUCUUGAACCACGGACCA
rnacentral:rRNA from 1 species